GAACGCUAGCUACAGGCUUAACACAUGCAAGUCGAGGGGAAACGACAUCGAAAGCUUGCUUUUGAUGGGCGUCGACCGGCGCACGGGUGAGUAACGCGUAUCCAACCUGCCCACCACUUGGGGAUAACCUUGCGAAAGUAAGACUAAUACCCAAUGAUAUCUCUAGAAGAUAUCUGAAAGAGAUUAAAGAUUUAUCGGUGAUGGAUGGGGAUGCGUCUGAUUAGCUUGUUGGCGGGGUAACGGCCCACCAAGGCAACGAUCAGUAGGGGUUCUGAGAGGAAGGUCCCCCACAUUGGAACUGAGACACGGUCCAAACUCCUACGGGAGGCAGCAGUGAGGAAUAUUGGUCAAUGGACGAGAGUCUGAACCAGCCAAGUAGCGUGCAGGAUGACGGCCCUAUGGGUUGUAAACUGCUUUUAUAAGGGAAUAAAGUGAGUCUCGUGAGACUUUUUGCAUGUACCUUAUGAAUAAGGACCGGCUAAUUCCGUGCCAGCAGCCGCGGUAAUACGGAAGGUCCGGGCGUUAUCCGGAUUUAUUGGGUUUAAAGGGAGCGUAGGCCGGAGAUUAAGCGUGUUGUGAAAUGUAGACGCUCAACGUCUACACUGCAGCGCGAACUGGUUUCCUUGAGUACGCACAAAGUGGGCGGAAUUCGUGGUGUAGCGGUGAAAUGCUUAGAUAUCACGAAGAACUCCGAUUGCGAAGGCAGCUCACUGGAGCGCAACUGACGCUGAAGCUCGAAAGUGCGGGUAUCGAACAGGAUUAGAUACCCUGGUAGUCCGCACGGUAAACGAUGGAUGCCCGCUGUUGGUCUGAAUAGGUCAGCGGCCAAGCGAAAGCAUUAAGCAUCCCACCUGGGGAGUACGCCGGCAACGGUGAAAC
rnacentral:rRNA from 1 species